ACCCGUUUUUGUGGCCUUUUUCCGCUGGACGAAGUGGCGCCCCGGCCUUCGGACGGUUAUUUUUGGGCGCGGCUUUGCCCGCGGCCUAUUUUUAGCACACGAAGGCCCCUCGCAAAGUCUCACGGCAUUCCGAGUCCGGCGGACGAAGUUGGCCAGCCCCCCCCCCCCAAAUCUAUAGCCCACCCGUUUUUGUGGGCUUUUUCCGCUGGACGAACUUGGCGCCCCGGCCUUCGGGUGCUUAUUUUUGGGCGCGGCUUUGCCCGCAGCCUAUUUGUGGCACAAGGAGGCCCCUCACAAAGUUUCACGGCAUUCCGAGUCCGGCGGACGAAGUUGGCCAGUCCCACCCCCCAAGGCUAUACCCCACCCAUUUUUGUGGCCUUUUUCCGCUGGUGGAACUUGGCGCGCCAGCCCUCGGGCGGUUAUUUUUGGGCGCGGCUUUGCCCGCGGCCUAUUUUUGGCACACGGAGGCCCCUCGCAAACUCUCGCGGCAUUCCGAGCCCGGCGGACGAAGUCGGCCAGCCCCAACCCCCAAGGCUAUAGCCCACCCGUUUUUGUGGCCUUUUUCCGCUGGACGAACAUGGCGCCCCGGCCUUCGGGCGGUUCUUUUUGGACGCGGCUUUGGCCGCGGCCUAUUUUUAGCACACGGAGGCCCCUCCCAAAGUAUCGCGGCAUUCCGAGGCCGGCGGACGAAGUCGGCCAGCCCCACCCCCCAAGGCUAUAGCCCAACCGUUUUUGUGGCCUUUUUCCGCUGGACGAACUUGGCGCCCCGGCCUUCGGGCGGUUAUUUUUGGGCGCGGCUUUGUUCGCGGCCUAUUUUUGGCACACGGAGGCGCCUCGCUAAGUCUCGCGCCAUUCCGAGUCCGGUGGUAGAAGUUGGCCAGCCCCGCCCCCCAAGGCUAUAGCCCACCCGUUUUUGUGGGCUUUUUCCGCUGGACGAACUUGGCGCCCUGGCCUUCGUGCGGUUAUUUUUCGGUGCGGCUGUGCCCGCGGCCUAUUUUUAGCACACGGAGGCACCUCGCAAAGUCUCGCGCCAUUCCGACUCCGGCGGACGAAGUUGGCCAGCCCCACCCCCCAAGGCUAUAGCCCACCCGUUUUUGUGGCCUUUUUCCGCUGGACGAACUUGGCGCCUCGGCCUUCGGGCGGUUAUUUUUGGGCGCGGCUGUACCCGCAGCCUAAUUUUGGCACACGGGGGUGCCUCGCAAAGUCUCGUGCCAUUCCGAGUCCGGCGGACGAAGUGGGCCAGCCCCACCCCCCAAGGCUAUAGCCCACCCGUUUUUGUGGGCUUUUUCCGCUGGACGAACUUGGCGUCCCGGCCUUCCGGCGGUUAUUUUUGGGUGCGGCUGUGCCCGCGGCCUAUUUUUGGCACCCGGAGGCUCCUCGCAAAGUCUCGCGCAAUUCCGAGUCCGGCGGAAGAAGUUGGCCAGCCCCACCUGCCAAGGCUAUAGCCCACUCGUUUUUGUGGGCUUUUUCCGCAGGACGAACUUGGCGCCCCGGCCUUCGGGCGGUUAUUUUUGGGCGCGGCUGUGGCCGCGGUUUAUUUUUGGCACACGGAGGCGCCUCGCAAAGUUUCGCGCCAUUCCGAGUCCGGCGGACGAAGUCGGCCAGCCCCACCCCCUAGGCUAUAGCCCACCCGUUUUUGUGGCCUUUUUCCGCUGGACGAACUAGGCGCCCCGGCCUUUGGGCCGUUAUUUUUUGGCGCGUCUGUGCCCACGGCCUAUUUUUGGCACAUGGAGGCGCAUAGCAAUGUCUCGUGCCAUUCCGAGUCCGGCGGACGAAGUCGGCCAGCCCCACCGCCCAAGGCUAUAGCCCACCCGUUUUUGAGGCCUUUUUCUGCUGGACGAACUUGGCGCCCCGGCCUUCGGGGGUUAUUUUUGGGCGCGGCUGUGCCCGCGGCCUAUUUUUGGCACACGGAGUCGCCUCGCAAAGUCUCGCGCCAUUCCGAGUCCGGCGGACGAAGUUGGCAAGCCCCACCCCCCAAGGCUAUAGCCCACUCGUUUUUGUCGGCUUUUUCCGCCGGACGAACUUGGCGACCCGGCCUUCGGGUAGUUAUUUCUGAGCGCGGCUGUGCCCACGGCCUAUUUUUGGCACACGGAGGCUGCUCGCAAAGUCUGGCUCCAUUCCGAGUCCGGCGGACGAAGUUGUCCAGUCCCACCACCCAAGGCUAUAGCCCACCCGUUUUUGUGGCCUUUUUCCGCUGGACGAACUUGGCUCCCCGGCCUUCGGGCUGUUAUUUUUGGGUGCGCCUGUGCCCGCAGCCUAUUUUUGGCGACGGGGGCGCCUCGCAAACUCUCGCGCCAUUCCGAGUCCGGAAGACGAAGUUGGCCAGCCCCACCACCCAAGGCUAUAGCCCACCCGUUUUUGUGGCCUUUUUCCGCUGGACGAACUUGGCGCCCCGGCCUUCGGGCGGUUAUUUUUGGGCGCGGCUGUGCCCGCGGCCUAUUUUUAGCAGACGGAGGCGCCUCGCAAAGUCUCGCGCCAUUCCGAGUCCAGCGGACGAAGUUAGCCAGCCCCACCCCCCAAGGCUAUAGCCCACCCGUUUUUGUGGCCUUUUUCCGCUGGACGAACUUGGCGCCCCGGCCUUCGGGCGGUUAUUUCUGGGUGCGGCUGUGCCCGCGGCCUAUUUUUAGCAGACGGAGGCGCCUCGCAAAGUCUCGCGCCAUUCCGAGUCCAGCGGACGAAGUUAGCCAGCCCCACCCCCCAAGGCUAUAGCCCACCCGUUUUUGUGGCCUUUUUCCGCUGGACGAACUUGGCGCCCCGGCCUUCGGGUGGUUAUUUUUGCGAGCGGCUGUGCCCGCGGCCUAUUUUUGGAGCACGGAGGCACGUCGCAAAGUCUCGCACCUUUCCGAGUCCGGCGGACGAAGUUGGGCAGCCCCACCCCCCAAGGCUAUAGCCCACCCGUUUUAUUGGCCGUUUUCCGCCGGACGAACUUGGCGCUCCGGCCUUCGGGCGGUUAUUUUUGCGAGCGGCUGUGCCCGUGGCCUAUUUUUAGAGCACGGAGGCACGUCGCAAAGUCUCGCACCUUUCCGAGUCCGGCGGACGAAGUUGGGCAGCCCCACCCCCCAAGGCUAUAGCCCAUCCGUUUUUGUGGGCUUUUUCCGCUGGACGAACUUGGCGCCCCGGCCUUCGGGCUGUUAUUUUGGGGCGCGGCUUUUCCCGCGGCGUAUUUUUGGCACAUGGAGGCCCCUCGCAAAGUCUCGCUGCGUUCCGAGUCCGGCGGACGAAAUCGGCCAGCCCCACCCCCCAAGGCUAUAGCCCACCCGUUUUUGUGGCCUUUUUCCGCUGGACGAACUUGGCACCCCGGCCUUCGGGCGGUUAUUUUUGGGCGCGGUUUUUCCCGCGGCCUAUUUUUGGCACAUGGAGGCCCCUCGCAAAGUCUCACGGCAUUCCGACUCCGGCGGACGAAGUUGGCCAGCCCCACCCCCCAAGGCUAUAGCCCACCCGUUUUAUUGGCCUUUUUCCGCCGGACGAACUUGGCGCUCCGGCCUUCGGGCGGUUAUUUUUGCGAGCGGCUGUGCCCGCGGCCUAUUUUUGGAGCACGGAGGCACGUCGCAAAGUCUCGCACCUUUCCGAGUCCGGCGGACGAAGUUGGGCAGCCCCACCCCCCAAGGCUAUAGCCCAUCCGUUUUUGUGGGCUUUUUCCGCUGGACGAACUUGGCGCCCCGGCCUUCGGGCUGUUAUUUUGGGGCGCGGCUUUUCCCGCGGCGUAUUUUUGGCACAUGGAGGCCCCUCGCAAAGUCUCGCUGCGUUCCGAGUCCGGCGGACGAAAUCGGCCAGCCCCACCCCCCAAGGCUAUAGCCCACCCGUUUUUGUGGCCUUUUUCCGCUGGACGAACUUGGCACCCCGGCCUUCGGGCGGUUAUUUUUGGGCGCGGUUUUUCCCGCGGCCUAUUUUUGGCACAUGGAGGCCCCUCGCAAAGUCUCACGGCAUUCCGACUCCGGCGGACGAAGUUGGCCAGCCCCACCCCCCAAGGCUAUAGCCCACCCGUUUUAUUGGCCUUUUUCCGCCGGACGAACUUGGCGCUCCGGCCUUNNNNNNNNNNNNNNNNNNNNNNNNNNNNNNNNNNNNNNNNNNNNNNNNNNNNNNNNNNNNNNNNNNNNNNNNNNNNNNNNNNNNNNNNNNNNNNNNNNNNNNNNNNNCCCCACCCCCCCAAGGCUAUAGCCCACCCGUUUUUGUGGCCUUUUUCCGCUGGACGAACUUGGCACCCCGGCCUUCGGGCGGUUAUUUUUGGGCGCGGUUUUUCGCGCGGCCUAUUUUUGGCACAUGGAGGCCCCUCGCAAAGUCUCGCGGCAUUCCGAGUCCGGCGGACGAAGUCGGCCAGCCCCACCCCCCAAGGCUAUAGCCCACCCGUUUUUGUGGCCUUUUUCCGCUGGACGAACUUGGCGCCCCGGCCUUCGGGCGGUUAUUUUUGGGCGCGGCUGUGCCCGCGGCCUAUUUUUAGCAGACGGAGGCGCCUCGCAAAGGCUCGCGCCAUUCCGAGUCCAGCGGACGAAGUUAGCCAGCCCCACCCGUUUUUGUGGCCUUUUUCCGCUGGACGAACUUGGCGCCCCGGCCUUCGGGCGGUUCUUUUUGGGCGCGGCUGUGCCUGCGGCCUAUUUUUGGCACACGGAGGAACCUCGCAAAGUCUCGCGCCAUUCCGACUCCGGCGGACGAAGUUGGCCAGCCCCACCCCCCAAGGCUAUAGCCCACCCGUUUUAUUGGCCUUUUUCCGCUGGACGAACUUGGCGCUCCGGCCUUCGGGCGGUUAUUUUUGCGCGCGGCUGUGCCCGCGGCCUAUUUUUGGAGCACGGAGGCACGUCGCAAAGUCUCGUACCAUUCCGAGUCCGGCGGACGAAGUUGGGCAGCCCCACCCCCCAAGGCUAUAGCCCACCCGUUUUUGUGGGCUUUUUCCGCUGGACGAACUUGGCGCCCCGGCCUUCGGGCGGUUAUUUUUGGGCGCGGCUAUGUCCGCGGCCUAUUUUUGGUGCACGGAGGCUCCUCGAAAAGUGUCGCGCCAUUCCGAGUCUGGCGGACGAAGUUUUGCCAGCCCCACCCCCCAAGGCUAUAGCCCACCGGUUUUUGUGGGCUUUUCCGCUGGACGAACUUGGCGCCCCGGCCUUCGGGGGGUUAUUUUUGGGCGCGGCUAUGCCCGCGGCCUAUUUUUGGCACACGGAGGUGCCUCGCAAAUUGUCGCACCAUUCCAAGUCCGGCGGACGAAGUUGGCCAGCCCCACCCCCCAAGGCUAUAGCCCACCCGUUUUUGUGGCCUUUUUCCGCUGGACGAACUUGACGCCCCGGCCUUCGGGCCGUUAUUUUUGGGCGCGGCUGUGCCCACGGCCUAUUUUUGGCACACGGAGGCGCCUCGUAAAGUCUGGCUCCAUUCCGAGUCCGGCGGACGAAGUAGGCCAGCCCCAUCCCCCAAGGCUAUAGCCCACCCGUUUUUGUGGCCUUUUUCCGCGGGACGAACUUGGCGCCCCGGCCUUCGGGCGGUUAUUUUUUGGCGCGGCUUUGCCCACGGCCUAUUUUUGGCACACGGAGGCGCCUCGUAAAGACUCGCGCCAUUCCGAG
rnacentral:lncRNA from 1 species